rnacentral:rRNA from 1 species
AUGGAAGGAUCCGGCGGCAAGGGGGGCAGCGCCCAGAUCCGCAGCCGCACCGGAGGGCCGCCAUCCCUCGAGAUCGUCCAUGGAGGUCCGACCCGGUUGCAGCCAUGGACUGAGACGCCCGAAACCCUAGCUACCCGUGGAGGUCCGACGCCUCAACCUCCAAGGAAAGGACACGCGCCGGCUGCAGGCCAUCUCCGGCGACCUCCGACCAUGGUUGCUCGGAUCUGGACCAGCUGCUGCUCCUACUGCUUCAGGUGGACGAGGACGAGCCGUCCCUCAUGGCUGCUGCGGCUGCCUAUACUCCCUCCUACCCACUGGCCUGGUGUGCUAUGGCAAUGA